rnacentral:lncRNA from 1 species
UGAAAUCCAUAAGCUGAAAUAGACUGAAAACCGACCUAUGUUUUCUCUCAGACCCAUGCCUACCAAUCAAUUUAACUGAUGAGUGAUGACUGUUUAUGAUGGAAUGAAAAAUCCUUGGAAAGAGAUAAUGUUAUCUAUUUGAAUCUCGGCAAACUCUGUUUAUCGAAUAAAGAAAAGGAGACAAACUGGGCAAACUCUUAUCACUCACAAUUUCAAAAAUGCAGAAUCCUGGAAAAAUUAACUGAAGAGAAGACAAGCUGUUCACUACUGCAAGUAAGAUGGUUUGAUAUCCAAUUGAAAAUCCC